AAAAUGGUUGUUAGGAAUACUUGAUAUAAGAUUCCUUCGAAGCUUCUUGAAGUUCCUUAAAGUACUACGUUAACUUGGUGUGAUAGACAAACAAGAUGACUUUCACUUUUCAGCUGUUCUUCAUUUUUAUUGCUGUUAGUCGUUGCUGCUAGAACAGUUAACAGCAGGUAUCUACCUAAAUCGGUAAGAGACAAUGGCGUACGUCUAGCCCCAGAAAAGAGACCUUUCUGUAAUGC